rnacentral:rRNA from 1 species
UACGGGGGGGGCAAGCGUUGUUCGGAAUUACUGGGCGUAAAGGGCCAGUAGGCGGCCAACUAAGUCCGACGUGAAAUCCCCAGGCUUAACCUGGGAACUGCGUCGGAUACUGGAUGGCUUGAAUUCGGGAGAGGGAUGCAGAAUUCCAGGUGUAGCGGUGAAAUGCGUAGAUAUCUGGAGGAACACCAAUGGCGAAGGCAGCUCGCUGGGACGGUACUGACGCUGAGACGCGAAAGCGUGGGGAGCAAACAGG